UAGUUAACCUUGGAAGAGCCUGCAUAAGUUAUUCAACAGAAAUUUUACUUGUACAGUUUCUCAUUGUUGGUUAAUUCCAGGGAAUUCUACUCCAAUUUAAAUAACAGGACUAAAGGCUUGAAAUUGAUAAAAUUGCAAAGUUCUUAAUACCAUAUUCUAGUUUCUAGUUAGUGAACUUAAUAUCCAUCACUUCCCCCUUCUGAAAUGCACUAACUAGAA
rnacentral:misc_RNA from 1 species